GACGAACGCUGGCGGCGUGCUUAACACAUGCAAGUCGAACGGAAAGGCCCUGCUGUUGUUGCUCGCUCGAGUGGCGAACGGGUGAGUAACACGUGAGUAACCUGCCCUUGACUUUGGGCUAAAUUCAGGAAACUGGGGCUCAUACCGGAUAUGAGCUCUUGCUGCAUGGGGUGGGAUGGAAAGUUCCGGCGGUUGUGGAUGGACUCGCGGCUUAUCAGCUGGUUGGUGGGGUAGUGGCUUACCAAGGCUUUGACGGGUAGCCGGCCUGGGAGGGGGACCGGCAACAUGGGGACUAGGGUAGGCCCCAGUAUCCAAGGGGAGGCAGCGGGGGGGAAUAUGGCAGAAUGGGGGGAAGCCUGAUGCGGCAACCCCGGGUGCGGAAUACCGGCCUUCGGGUGGUAAACCGCUUUAGCCUGUGCCAAGGCGGGAGUGACGGUACUUGGUAAAGAAGCACCGGCUAACUACGUG
rnacentral:rRNA from 1 species